rnacentral:rRNA from 1 species
GACGAACGCUGGCGGCGUGCUUAACACAUGCAAGUCGAACGGAAAGGCCCCUUUGGGGGUACUCGAGUGGCGAACGGGUGAGUAACACGUGAGUAACCUGCCCUUGACUUCGGGAUAACUUCAGGAAACUGGGGCUAAUACCGGAUAGGAAUCCUUGCUGCAUGGUGGGGGUUGGAAAGCUUCGGCGGGUUUGGAUGGACGCGCGGCUUAUCAGCUUGUUGGUGGGGUAGUGGCUUACCAAGGCUUUGACGGGUAGCCGGCCUGGGAGGGCGACCGGCCACAUUGGGACUUAGAUACGGCCCAGACUCCUACGGGAGGCAGCAGUGGGGAAUAUUGCACAAUGGGCGGAAGCCUGAUGCAGCAACGCCGCGUGCGGGAUGACGGCCUUCGGGUUGUAAACCGCUUUCAGCAGGGGCGAAGCUUGUGGUGACGGUACCUGCAGAAGAAGCACCGGCUAACUACGUG